GCACCGGUUACCCCCACCACGCGUUUGCACCAUCUGCAUGCAUCAAUGAUAAGCAUUCGUUAGGAGUUGUUAUCAACCGGUAGACAUAUGCAAAAUCGUGCCAUAAUAAAUUUACUGAUGAGAAUAAAUCCACACAAUAAUUCAUCAUCCACACACAACAUCACUAACUGAUUACUUAACAUGUAGCCAACAGGGUUCGCACACAUCCAAAAUUGCCGACAUACAUACACUGGACUUUCAGUGUCAGCACAAGUCAACACAUAAAGUCUUACACAUCCAAGAUCCAAACAGAUUACAAGCACAUGCUAUGCAACAACAACAGCAAAAGAAGGACUAGCUCUAGAGCCCUAGCAUCUACUCACUA
rnacentral:lncRNA from 1 species